rnacentral:rRNA from 1 species
GACAGAGGUGGCAAGCGUUGCUCGGAUUCACUGGGCUUAAAGGGCGCGUAGGUGGUCUUGUAAGUCAAAGGUGGAAUUCCACAGCUUAACUGUGGAACUGCCUUUGAUACUGCAAGGCUUGAGUCAGGUAGAGGAGGGCGGAAUUCCCGGUGUAGCGGUGAAAUGCGUAGAUAUCGGGAGGAAGGCCGGUGGCGAAGGCGGCCAUCUGGCUGGUAACUGACGCUGAGGUGCGAGAGCGUGGGGAGCAAACAGG